rnacentral:rRNA from 1 species
AACGAACGCUGGCGGCAGGCUUAACACAUGCAAGUCGAACGGGCAUAGCAAUAUGUCAGUGGCAGACGGGUGAGUAACGCGUGGGAAUAUGCCCUUUAGUUCGGAAUAACCAAGGGAAACUUUGGCUAAUACCGGAUAAGCCCGAGAGGGGAAAGACUUAUCGCUGAAGGAGUAGCCCGCGUCUGAUUAGCUAGUUGGUGAGGUAAUGGCUCACCGAGGCGACGAUCAGUAGCUGGUCUGAGAGGAUGAUCAGCCACACUGGGACUGAGACACGGCCCAGACUCCUACGGGAGGCAGCAGUGGGGAAUAUUGGACAAUGGGGGCAACCCUGAUCCAGCCAUGCCGCGUGAGUGAUGAAGGCCUUAGGGUUGUAAAACUCUUUUAUCCGGGAAGAUAAUGACUGUACCGGAAGAAUAAGCCCCGGCUAACUUCGUGCCAGCAGCCGCCGUAA